AAGGUUUAUUUCACCUUAUGUUUGUUUAUUAUAGAAAAUGUUUUAAAAGAGCUUAAAUUAUGAUCUUAGACUUUAACAUAGAGAGGACUAAUUGAGAUUAAACAAUGAAUGGAUUUGAUUUAGUUAAGUGUUGACCAGAUAAAAUAAGUGCCAGUAAUCACGGUUAUACUUAUUGGUAUUUAAAAAAGAAUAGUAGAGUUCAAAAUCUCUUUAGGGAUAUUAGGUAAAAAGAAAUCUUUAAGGGAAGAAAUAAAAUUUCAAAGUGGAUUAGACACCCAUGUAGGAAGAUAAAUUAAAAUAUAUUAAUAGUGGAAAUAUAAAUAAUUAGACGGUUUGACCAUACACAGAGGUGCUUGUUCUGUAAUAUGACACUCCGCAGUAAAGUGCUACUUUUUAAUAAAGUGUAUGUCCGUACUGUGUGAAAUGAUUUCCACACUGGUCAGGUCCCCAUGCUAUUAGAGUAGUUAGAGUGAGCAGCAAUAAGAUUUUUGUUUCUAGUUUGAGACACCUAGAAACUAAGAGGAUUUGUUAGUAAAACAAAGUUAAUAACUUUUUUUGAAUUGGAAUGGUCGGAGUACUCACCGCCCGCCAAUAAGAUUGUAAAUUCUUAUAAAGCGUAACAAGGUAAGUUUUCUAGAAAGAGAACUUGGUUAAAGAG
rnacentral:rRNA from 1 species